rnacentral:lncRNA from 1 species
UUCAUACAUAUGUAGAUAUACAGAAAUGUAAAUAUAUAUUCACCCAAGCCCAACAAUAGCAUGGCAACAUACCUCUUAAAUAUUUAGAUUAACUGUUUUUAUUCUAUGCUCUAUGGAGUAAACCUUUGCUUGUAUUACCUGGACUCUUAAAAUCAUAGGUGAUAAAAAGAGAAAGAAAAAAGAACCUGUUUUAAAAUGUCCUCUUGCUGGUUGGAUUCUGAGCUCCUAGCUCUUCCCCAUGGCUGACCUUGAGGAGUUGUGGGUUUCUUCACCAGCUCCCAGAACUUCCCUUUUCUUCCUCAUCUUCAAACACCUUUUAGCAUCUUUCCCACGCAACCAGUGAGUUUGGGCUGGCCAGUUCUGAGCAGGAACAAGGGCCAAAUGGUAGACCUGCUGGAGAAAGUGGAGAUGCAGAUCAGAGAUGCAGCAUUUUCAUUAACCAAAUUUCUUGAGGUCACAUCUGCAGUACCAGCUCAAGUGGAAUAGCUUGUCUUCCAAUGUACAGAAAAUGCAUGUUUCCUUAAAACCUGGCAGGACCUCUUGAAACAAGGCUAUGAUUCUUUGAAACCUGAUGACUGAUUUGGCAUGCUUAGUUAUUAAUGAUUGUGUAAUAACUCAUACUUCCUCAUAUAUGAUAUUUGCAUAUGUACUACAUGUAUAGAAUGAUCUCUUCCCAGCAGUUCUGUAUAUACUCAGAAUGAAAUUUUUCUUGGUUUUCUUGGCCUUUGUGAAAGCAGAAGGCUGACGCUAUUUUUGUUGCUGACCAGUACUUGUUUAUCCAUUAAUAUUUUCUGCCCUCUAAACUUUUGUAUAAUCCUUUAUGAAAGUUAAUUUCAUCAGUAUAUAGUUAAUAUUAAUAGUGCCAAAGUGCUACCAGUGGCAAACUAGGUAGAUCGUUAUUUAUUUUCAACAAGAUGCCAAGCAUGUCAGAGUUUGAAGUUGAGCUUCAGCUUAAGUACAAACGGAGGUAAUUUUAAGGUUGCCAGUGAUAGAUCCAGUUCCAUUAGGUUUAGUUCUCUAGGGCUAAUGAUUGUUUCUGAUUUAUUUCUAUAUCCCUAGCACCUAAAACAGUGUCACACAAUAGUCACUAAAUGUUUAUUGAAUAAAAGAGUCGACAAACAUAAUUAAAAGCUAUUUUUCUUCCUAUAUAUAGCAUGAAGAUUGUAAUUGCUUCUCUAGAAAAUGUAUGAAUCCAAACUUUACUAACUUGAGGAAAAACAUUCUCUUUACAGAGAUUUGAACUUUGAUGAUGGCUUCUAAAUAUAUAUAUAUAUAUAUAUAUUUGUACUUCUAUAUUUUUAUAGAAGGCUUUCCUUUGGAAAAUGAAAGACUAUCUAGAAAGAAUGCAUGUAUUCCCCCCUAUUUUUUAUGGUUAUUAUUUUUACAGUUUUUUUGUGGUUGACAUUUUUAUAUGUUUGAUUGCUAUCUUUAAAGUGCCUUAUCAAAUUUAUGGCUCUGUGCUGUUACCUUUUGAGCUUUGCAAGUUGUUUACAUAAUAAAGAAGUUACUUUGUUUCCAAUGCAUCAA